UACGUAGAAAUCUACCCUCGGGUCUGGGAUAGCGUCGGGAAACUGGCGGUAAUACCGGAUAACGUCUUCGGACCAAAGGUGUGACUCCACCUGAGGAUGAGUCUACGUCCUAUUAGCUAGUUGGCGGGGUAAUGGCCCACCAAGGCAACGAUGGGUAGCGGGUGUGAGAGCAUGACCCGCCUCACUGGGACUGAGACACUGCCCAGACACCUACGGGUGGCUGCAGUCGAGAAUCUUUGUCAAUGGACGAAAGUCUGAACAAGCGACGCCGCGUGCGGGAUGAAGGCCCUCGGGUUGUAAACCGCUGUCGUAGGGGAACAAAUGGUUUAGGGUACUCCCUUUACCUUGAGUGAUCCUAGGAGGAAGGACGGGCUAAGUUCGUGCCAGCAGCCGCGGUAAGACGAACCGUCCGAACGUUAUUCGGUAUCACUGGGCUUAAAGAGUUCGUAGGCGGCCAAGCAGGUCAGGUGUGAAAUCCCACAGCUCAACUGUGGAACUGCGCUUGAAACCGCAUGGCUUGAGGGAGAUAGAGGUAAGCGGAACAGAUGGUGGAGCGGUGAGAUGCGUUGAUAUCAUCUGGAACACCGGUGGCGAAAGCGGCUUACUGGAUCUCUUCUGACGCUGAGGAACGAAAGCUAGGGUAGCGAACGGGAUUAGAUACCCCGGUAGUCCUAGCCGUAA
rnacentral:rRNA from 1 species